rnacentral:rRNA from 1 species
GGCUCAGAUUGAACGCUGGCGGCAGGCCUAACACAUGCAAGUCGAACGGUAGCACAGAGGAGCUUGCUCCUUGGGUGACGAGUGGCGGACGGGUGAGUAAUGUCUGGGGAUCUGCCCGAUGGAGGGGGAUAACUACUGGAAACGGUAGCUAAUACCGCAUAACGUCGCAAGACCAAAGUGGGGGACCUUCGGGCCUCACACCAUCGGAUGAACCCAGAUGGGAUUAGCUAGUAGGUGGGGUAACGGCUCACCUAGGCGACGAUCCCUAGCUGGUCUGAGAGGAUGACCAGCCACACUGGAACUGAGACACGGUCCAGACUCCUACGGGAGGCAGCAGUGGGGAAUAUUGCACAAUGGGCGCAAGCCUGAUGCAGCCAUGCCGCGUGUAUGAAGAAGGCCUUCGGGUUGUAAAGUACUUUCAGCGGGGAGGAAGGUGGUGAGGUUAAUAAGCUCAUCAAUUGACGUUACCCGCAGAAGAAGCACCGGCUAACUCCGUGCCAGCAGCCGCGGUAAUACGGAGGGUGCAAGCGUUAAUCGGAAUUACUGGGCGUAAAGCGCACGCAGGCGGUCUGUCAAGUCGGAUGUGAAAUCCCCGGGCUUAACCUGGGAACUGCAUUCGAAACUGGCAGGCUCGAGUCUCGUAGAGGGGGGUAGAAUUCCAGGUGUAGCGGUGAAAUGCGUAGAGAUCUGGAGGAAUACCGGUGGCGAAGGCGGCCCCCUGGACGAAGACUGACGCUCAGGUGCGAAAGCGUGGGGAGCAAACAGGAUUAGAUACCCUGGUAGUCCACGCCGUAAACGAUGUCGACUUGGAGGUUGUGCCCUUGAGGCGUGGCUUCCGGAGCUAACGCGUUAAGUCGACCGCCUGGGGAGUACGGCCGCAAGGUUAAAACUCAAAUGAAUUGACGGGGGCCCGCACAAGCGGUGGAGCAUGUGGUUUAAUUCGAUGCAACGCGAAGAACCUUACCUGGCCUUGACAUCCAGAGAACUUAGCAGAGAUGCUUUGGUGCCUUCGGGAACUCUGAGACAGGUGCUGCAUGGCUGUCGUCAGCUCGUGUUGUGAAAUGUUGGGUUAAGUCCCGCAACGAGCGCAACCCUUAUCCUUUGUUGCCAGCGAUUCGGUCGGGAACUCAAAGGAGACUGCCGGUGAUAAACCGGAGGAAGGUGGGGAUGACGUCAAGUCAUCAUGGCCCUUACGGCCAGGGCUACACACGUGCUACAAUGGCGCAUACAAAGAGAAGCGACCUCGCGAGAGCAAGCGGACCUCAUAAAGUGCGUCGUAGUCCGGAUUGGAGUCUGCAACUCGACUCCAUGAAGUCGGAAUCGCUAGUAAUCGUAGAUCAGAAUGCUACGGUGAAUACGUUCCCGGGCCUUGUACACACCGCCCGUCACACCAUGGGGAGUGGGUUGCAAAAGAAGUAGGUAGCUUAACCUUCGGGAGGGCGCUUACCACUUUGUGAUUCAUGACUGGGGGUG